rnacentral:lncRNA from 1 species
CCAUUUUCGGUGUCAUUCACUCCGAGACAAGAUGAAAGAAAGGGUUCUUUUCUGCGCGGUGUUCUUCUGUGUGGUGGUGGUGGUUUUCUCCAGGUCAACAUGGUCCCUGAAUAUAGGGUACGAUGGUAGCCAGUUUCAGGGUCUGAGCUGUCAGGAUUGCUACCACAGGAACAGCCAAGGGGAUUGUGUUGCCAACUGGGCUUGUCUCUUUAUGAAUAAGGCCUUUGAUUCCUCCCCACCGUAAGCAGAGUCUCUCUUCGGCCAUGAGAGGAAGCCAGGAUAUUUGGCCUCAUCGACGCCUCAGCUCUGGAGGACACACGGACCAGAGUGUGACCUUGAAUUAUGGAUUAUUCACCUUUCCUCCGUUGAAUGGGAAGUCGACAUGUAUGUGAAUUUCAUCUGCAUACAUAUCAAUACACAUAUACAUAUACAUACGUUGAAUAUAUAUAUAUAUAUA